UGGGGAAUAUUGGACAAUGGGGGCAACCCUGAUCCAGCAAUGCCGCGUGUGUGAAGAAGGCCUGCGGGUUGUAAAGCACUUUAGUGUGGGAAGAAGGCUACGCAAGUAGUUUGACGGUACCACAAGAAUAAGCACCGGCUAACUCUGUGCCAGCAGCCGCGGUAAUACAGAGGGUGCGAGCGUUAAUCGGAAUGACUGGGCGUAAAGCGCGCGUAGGCGGUUAUACAAGUUGGGUGUGAAAUCCCUGGGCUUAACCUAGGAAUUGCAUUCAAAACUAUAUGACUUGAGUGAAGUAGAGGUGAGUGGAAUUUCCGGAGUAGCGGUGAAAUGCGUAGAUACCGGAAGGAACACCAGUGGCGAAGGCGACUCACUGGGCUUUAACUGACGCUGAGGUGCGAAAGCGUGGGGAGCAAACAGGAUUAGAUACCCCGGUAGUCC
rnacentral:rRNA from 1 species